UACAGAGGGUGCAAGCGUUAAUCGGAGUUACUGGGCGUAAAGGGCGCGUAGGCGGUUGAAUAAGUGAGAUGUGAAAUCCCUGGGCUUAACCUAGGAACUGCAUCUUAUACUGUUUAACUAGAGUAUUGUAGAGGGUAGUGGAAUUUCCGGUGUAGCGGUGAAAUGCGUAGAGAUCGGAAGGAACACCAGUGGCGAAGGCGGCUACCUGGACAAAUACUGACGCUGUGGCGCGAAAGCUAGGGGAGCAAACGGG
rnacentral:rRNA from 1 species